rnacentral:rRNA from 1 species
GCGUACUAAUCUGCGAUAAGCGCCGGUAAGGUGAUAUGAACCGUUAUAACCGGCGAUACCCGAAUGGGGAAACCCAGUGUGAUUCGUCACACUAUCAUUAACUGAAUCCAUAGGUUAAUGAGGCGAACCGGGGGAACUGAAACAUCUAAGUACCCCGAGGAAAAGAAAUCAACCGAGAUUCCCCCAGUAGCGGCGAGCGAACGGGGAGGAGCCCAGAGCCUGAAUCAGCAUGUGUGUUAGUGGAAGCGUCUGGAAAGGCGCGCGAUACAGGGUGACAGCCCCGUACACAAAAGCGCAUGUGCUGUGAGCUCGAUGAGUAGGGCGGGACACGUGGUAUCCUGUCUGAAUAUGGGGGGACCAUCCUCCAAGGCUAAAUACUCCUGACUGACCGAUAGUGAACCAGUACCGUGAGGGAAAGGCGAAAAGAACCCCGGCGAGGGGAGUGAAAAAGAACCUGAAACCGU